ACAAAAUUGGCUAAAUGCCUGCUGCUGUAUACAUAGCGCGCGCGUGUGUAUGUUGCUAACAUUGGCUAGUUAGCUAGCCAUCAAUAAAGUUCCUAACGUUACAACAUGGCAGACGGCUGGAGCACCGACACCGGAGAGGCAGACUAUCGUUCCCGGGAUGCUGUCAAAAAUCUUACAAUUAAUGUUUACAGGAUCCGUAUUCAGAGAGUCACCUUCACAGCAGCCCUCAACACCUUCAGCAGCAGGUUUUGACUCAACAGGAGAGGGGAGGCAUUGAGCUGGACACCCUCAACUCACAGGCUCAAUCAGGAUUCCCAGAGUAUGGUGACGCAGAUAAAGUCCAACCCUACCUUCCUGGCACAUAGGGUGGCCAAUGUCAGACACAGACGACAUGACAGACACCCAGUUGACAGCACCGUCCCCAAGUCCAGGCUGAUUACCUGGGAGCCCUCGGAGGACUUUAUGAAGUCCAGCCACGUGGUCAACACACCUGUACAGACCAUGCACAUCAUGGGGGACCUGGGACCACCAGGCAAACUUGGCCAAAACGAGAAGGAAUGCUUGUUGUGCACAAUAAGAGCAGAUGGAAAUGGAGUGAUUACCAUCAAACCAGACAUCAACAAAGUUGUUUCAUCAGCAAAGGUCAUCUCAAAUCUGAUUUUAUUUGUCACAUGCCGAAUACAACAGGUGUAGUAGACCUUACAGUGAAAUGCUUAUUUAAAAAAAAUAAGUGUUAGGUAAUUAUUUUUUAUUUUGGACCUAGACUUGGCGCUCCGGUACAGCUUGCCGUGCGGUAGAAGAGAGAACAUUCUAUGACUAGGGUGGCUUGAGUCUUUGACAAUUUUUAGGGCCUUAUUCUGACACCACCUGGUAUAGUGGUCCUGGAUGGCAGGAAGCUUGGCCCCAGUGAUGUACUGGGACAUACUCACUACCCUCUGUAGUGCUUUGCAGUCAAAGUCCGAGCAGUUGCCAUACCAGGCAGUGAUUCAACCAGUCAGGAUGCUCUCGAUGGUGAAGCUGUAGAAUUUUUUGAGGAUCUGAGGACCCAUGCUAAAUCUUUUCAGUCUCUUGUGGGGGAAUAGGCUUUGUCGUGCCCUCUUCACGGCUGUCUUGGUGUGUUUUGACCAUUAUAGUUUGGUGAUGUGGACACCAAGGAACUUGAAGCUCUCAACCUGCUCCACUACAGCCACGUCGAUAAGAAUGGGGGAGUGCUCAGUCCUCCUUUUCCUGUAGUCCACAAUCUUCUCCUUUGUCUUGAUCACAUUGAAGAAGAGGUUGUUGUCCUUGCACCACAUUGUCAGGACUCUGACCUCCUUAUAGGCUUUCUCGUCGUUGUCGGUGAUCAGGCCUAUCACUGUUGUCAUCGGCAAACUUAAUGAUGGUGUUGGAGUUGUGCCUGGCCAUGCAGUCAUGAGUGAACAGGGAGUACAGGAGGGGACUGAGCAUGCACCCUAGAGGUGCCCCCGUGUUGAGGAUCAGCGUGGCGGAUGUGUUGUUACCUACCCUUACCACCUGGGGGCGGCCCGUCAGGAGGUCCAGGAUCCAGUUGCAAAGGGAGGUGUUUAGUCCCAGGGUCCUUAGCUUAGUGAUGAGCUUUGAGGGCACUAAGGUGUUAAACGCUGAGAUGUAGUCAAUGAAUAGCAUUCUCACAUAGGUGCUUCUUUUGUCCAUGUGUGAAAGGGCAGUGUGGAGUGCAAUAGAGAUUGCAUCAUCUGUGGAUCUGUUGGGGCGGUAUGCAAAUUGAAGUGGAUCUAGGGUUUCUGGGAUAAUGGUGUUGAUGUGAGCCAUGGCCAGCCUUUCAAAGCACUUCAUGGCUACAGAUGUGAGUGCUACGGGUCGGUAGUCAUUUAGUCAGGUUACCUUAGUGUUCUUGGGCACAGGGACUAUGGUGGUCUGCUUGAAACAUGUUGGUAUUACAGACUCCGACAGGGAGAGGUUGAAAAUGUCAGUGAAGACGAUUGCCAGUUGGUCAGAGCAUGCUCGGAGUACACGGCCUGGUAAUCUAUCUGGCCCUGCGGCCUUAUGAAUGUUGACCUGUUGAUCAAUGUUGAUCACAGUCAUCCGGAACAGCUGAUGCUCUCAUGCAUCUUUCAGUGUUACUUGCCUUGAAGCGAGCGUAGAAAUUAUUUAGCUCGUCUGGUAGGCUCGUGUCACUGGGCAGCUCUCGGCUGUGCUUCCCUUUGUCGUCUGUAAUAGUUUGCAAGCCCUGCCACAUCCGACGAGCGUCGGAGCCGGUGUAGUAUGAUUCGAUCUUAGGCCUGUAUUGACACUUUGCCUGUGUAACAGUAUAACUUUAGACCGUCCCCUUGCCCCGGGCGCGAACCAGGGACCCUCUGCACACAUCAACAACAGUCACCCACGAAGCGUCGUUACCCAUCGCUCCACAAAAGCCGCGGCCCUUGCAGAGCAAGGGGAAACCCUGCUUCAAGUUUCAGAGCAAGUGACGUAACCGAUUGAAAUGCUAUUAGCGCGUACCCGCUAACUAGCUAGCCAUUUCACAUCCGUUACACCUGUUUGAUGGUUCGUUGGAGGGCAUAGUGGGAUUUCUUAUAAGCUUCCGUGUUAGAGUCCUGCUCCUUGAAAGCGGAAGCUCUACCCUUUAGCUCUCUGCGGAUGUUGCCUGUAAUCCAUGGCUUCUGGUUGGGUAUAUACGUAUAGUCACUGUGGGGAUGACGUCAUUGAUCCACGUAUUGAUGAAGCCAGUGAUUGAUGUGGUGUACUCCUCAAUGCCAUCGGAAGAAUCCCAGGAACAUAUUCCAGUCUGUGCAAGCAAAACAGUUCUGUAGUUUAGCAUCUGCUUCAUCUGACCACUUUUUUAAUAGACUGAGUCACUGAUGCUUCCUGCUUUCAUUUUUUCUUGUAAGCAGGAAUCAGGAGGAUAGAAUUAUGGUCAGAUUUGCCAAAUGGAGGGCGAGGGAGAGCUUUGUACGCAUCUCUGUGUGUGGAGUGAAGGUGGUCUAGAGUUCGUUUUUUUCCCGCUCUGGUUGCACAUUUAACAUGCUGGUUGAAAUUAGGUCAAACGGAUUUACAUUUACAUUUAAGUUUCCCUCCAUUAAUGUCCCCGGCCACUAGGAGCGCCGCCUCUGGAUGAGUGUUUUCCUGUUUGCUUAUGGCGGUAUACAGCUCAUUGAGUGCGGUCUUAUUGCCAGCAUCGGUCUGUGGUGGUGUGUAGACAGCUAUGAAAAAUAUAGAUGAAAACUUUCUAGGUAGAUAGUGUGGUCUGCAGCUUAUCGUGAGAUACUCUAGCUCAGGCGAGCAAAACCUUGAGACUUCCUUGGAUAUCGUGCACCAGCUGAUGUUCUAUCCUGCCGAUAGUGUAUAUUAUUAAUGACGUCGUUCAGCCACGACUCUGUGAAGCAUGAGAUAUUACAAUUUAAGGUCCCGUUGGUAGGAUAUAUGUGCUUUUAGUUCGUCCCAUUUAUUUUCCAGCUAUUGUAUGUUGGCUAACAGUACGGAUGGCAAAGGCAGAUUAGCCACUCGUCACCUGAUCCUCACAAGGCACCCCGAUCUCCUUCUGCGAAAUCUACUUAUUUUUUUCCUACGAAUGACAAGGAUGAGGUUCUGUUCAGGUGUCUGGAGUAAAUCCCUCUCGUCUGACUCAUUACAGAAAAAUUCUUUGUCCAAUUCAAGGUGGGUAAUCGCUGUUCUGAUGUCCAGAAGCUCUUUUCGGUCAUAAGAGACGGUAGCAGCAACAUUAUGUACAAAAUAAGUUUCAAACAAUGUGAAAAAACUAACAAAAUAGCAUGGUUGGUUAAGAGCCAAUAAAACGUCAGCCAUCCUCUCUGGCGCCAGUACAACUUUAUAAGUCCAUGUUACGGGGAACAAAGGGAAUUUGUUUUUCUGAAGGGUUUGGUCACAGAUCUGCCAGUUCAGAUCAAAUCCCACGUUUUGUUGCCUGACUCACGACUCAAACCAGUGACCUUUCAGUUACUGGACUAAUUCUCUAUCUUCCACCUUCUAACACAAUUUAAUAUUUUUAUUUCACCUUUAUUUAACCAGGUAGACAACAAGUUCUCAUUUACAACUGCGACCUGGCAUGGGCGUCCUAGGCGAAGUUCCCUUUACACUAUCCCAUGUGCGUGUCUCAUGAUCUGGUAAUGAGGUAGUCCUGCCUGUAAGUUUAAUAUCAGUGUCACCCGCAG